AUUGAACGCUGGCGGCAUGCCUUACACAUGCAAGUCGAACGGCAGCACGGGUGCUUGCACCUGGUGGCGAGUGGCGAACGGGUGAGUAAUACAUCGGAACAUGUCCUGUAGUGGGGGAUAGCCCGGCGAAAGCCGGAUUAAUACCGCCUACGAUCUACGGAUGACAGCGGGGGACCUUCGGGCCUCGCGCUUUAGGGUUGGCCGAUGGCUGAUUAGCUAGUUGGUGGGGUAAAGGCCUACCAAGGCGACGAUCAGUAGCUGGUCUGAGAGGACGACCAGCCACACUGGGACUGAGACACGGCCCAGACUCCUACGGGAGGCAGCAGUGGGGAAUUUUGGACAAUGGGCGAAAGCCUGAUCCAGCAAUGCCGCGUGUGUGAAGAAGGCCUUCGGGUUGUAAAGCACUUUUGUCCGGAAAGAAAUCCUUGGCCCUAAUACGGUCGGGGGAUGACGGUACCGGAAGAAUAAGCACCGGCUAACUACGUG
rnacentral:rRNA from 1 species